rnacentral:rRNA from 1 species
UACGAAGGGGGCUAGCGUUGCUCGGAAUCACUGGGCGUAAAGGGUGCGUAGGCGGGUCUUUAAGUCAGGGGUGAAAUCCUGGAGCUCAACUCCAGAACUGCCUUUGAUACUGAAGAUCUUGAGUUCGGGAGAGGUGAGUGGAACUGCGAGUGUAGCGGUGAAAUGCGUAGAUAUCUGGAGGAACACCGGUGGCGAAGGCGGCAUCCUGGACCGGUAUUGACGCUGAGGCGCGAAAGCCAGGGGAGCAAACGGG